ACCGCCGCCCAAUAGGAGCGCCCCUCUUCUUCGUCACGUGCUCCUCCUCCUCGGCGGCGCUGCGGAGUUGACCUUUCACCCCAAGAUGGCGGCGCCCGUCGGUCCGAUGAAGUUUUGGAAACCAGGUACAGAUGGACCAGGUGCCAGUCUCUCAGAGGAAAGGCAGAGUCCUGCUGAAAGUACUAGUGUUUCAGUCAUCUACAACCCAUAUGUUUCUCUUUCUAUUGAACAACAGAGGCAAAAGCUACCAGUUUUUAAGCUGAGAAAUCACAUCCUUUAUCUGGUAGAAAACUAUCAAACACUGGUGAUUGUUGGAGAAACAGGAUGUGGGAAAAGCACUCAGAUUCCCCAGUAUCUAAUGGAAGCUGGCUGGACUGCAGAAGGUCGAGUAGUGGGAGUAACACAGCCUCGCAGAGUUGCAUGUGUUUCAAUUGCAGGCCGAGUAGCUGAGGAGAGGGGUGCCUUGCUAGGUCAUGAAGUUGGGUAUUGCAUCCGAUUUGAUGAUUGUACUGAUCCACAGACUACAAGGAUCAAGUUCCUGACUGAUGGGAUGCUAGUGAGGGAAAUGAUGGCUGACCCAUUAUUAACAAGAUAUAGUGUAAUCAUGUUGGAUGAAGCUCAUGAAAGAACGUUGUAUACAGACAUUGCCAUUGGUUUGCUAAAAAAGGUUCAAAAGAAACGAGGAGAUCUUCGUCUAAUUGUAGCAUCGGCAACACUGGAUGCAGAGAAAUUUAGGGAUUUCUUUAAUCAAAAUGAGACGAGUGACCCAAGCAAAGAUACCAGCAUGAUCCUUACUGUGGAAGGACGAACAUUUCCAGUGGAUGUCUUCUACAUUCAGAGGCGCAGACUUCAGUGGAGGAGGGCUUCGGGAACCUUCCCCCGUCCCCUUUUGCACCGGCCAGCUGGAGCAGACUUCAGACGAGUGCUACGGGGACUCGGUGGAAUCUUCAUGCUUUUCCUCCCCUGGAAUCUUAGUCCUCCCCUUCCCCCUCCACAGAAGGGAUAUGGGCAAACCUGGCAGCAUCUUCAUGCCCUCUCUCCUCCUCCACAAAAGGAGAUGGACAGUCCUGUUCCAGAUUAUGUGAAAUCAACUGUGGAAACUGUCAUGAAAAUUCAUCAGACAGAAGGUGAUGGGGAUAUUCUGGCAUUUUUAACUGGCCAGGAGGAGGUAGAAACUGUUGUUUCAAUGCUGAUAGAACAGGCACGGAUCUUUGCUCGCACAGGAAUGAAGAAACACCUGCGCGUUCUUCCUAUGUAUGCAGGGUUACCUGCUUCUGAACAGAUGAAAGUGUUUGAGAGAGUAUCUCAUAAUGUUAGAAAGGUUAUAGUGGCCACUAAUAUUGCAGAAACAUCUAUUACAAUCAAUGGCAUUUCAUUUGUGAUUGACUGUGGUUUUGUGAAGCUCCGUGCAUAUAAUCCAAAAACAGCAAUUGAAUGCCUUGUGGUUGUUCCAGUAUCGAAGGCCUCAGCGAAUCAGAGGGCAGGUCGGGCAGGUCGAAACCGUUCAGGAAAAUGCUACAGACUUUAUACAGAGGAAGAUUUUGAGAAGUUGCCACAAUCCACUAUUCCUGAGAUGCAGCGCAGUAACCUAGCACCAGUCAUUCUCCAGCUGAAAGCUUUAGGAAUUGACAAUGUGCUCAGGUUUCCUUUCCUCUCACCUCCACCUGCUCAGUCAAUGGUGCAAGCUUUGGAGCUACUCUAUGCAUUAGGAGGGCUUGAUAAAUAUUGCCGUCUCACUGAACCUCUUGGAAUUAGGAUAGCAGAAUUCCCUUUGAAUCCCAUGUUUGCUAAGAUGCUCCUAGAAUCAGGGAAUUUUGGUUGCUCCCAGGAGAUUCUGAGCAUUGCUGCCAUGAUGCAGAUCCAGAACAUCUUUACAAUUCCUCCAAACCAGAAGACACAAGCUACCAGAGAACACAGAAAAUUUGCUGUUGAAGAGGGUGACCAUCUCACUAUGCUUAAUGUCUAUGAAGCUUUUAUCAAACACAACAAGAAUUCUCAGUGGUGCCAAGAUCAUUUUUUAAACUACAAAGGCCUCGUCAGAGCCACAGCUGUCAGAGAACAGCUGAAAAAACUUCUUGUCAAGUUCAAAGUACCAAAAAAAUCCUGUGAAGGUGAUCCAGAUCCUGUUCUAAGGUGCAUAGUUUCUGGAUUCUUUGCUAACGCAGCCAGGUUUCACUCUACAGGGGCCUACAGGACUAUUCGUGAUGACCAUGAACUUCAUAUCCAUCCCACCUCAGUGCUGUAUGCGGAGAAGCCCCCUCGUUGGGUAGUAUACAAUGAAGUCAUACAGACCUCAAGAUACUACAUGCGAGAUGUAACAGCUAUUGAAUCUGCUUGGCUGUUGGAACUGGCUCCUCACUUCUACCAGCAAGGAACGGUACGGACUCGACAUAGACUCCAAACGCACCUUUCCCUGAAAGCCAAAAGGACUAAAGUUGAUGACCAUUGACUCGCCAUUGCUGUUCAAGUCUACAGUGUGUGAUGCUGAACUUGCUACCAAUUUGAAACUCCUACUGUCCAUCCAACACAGUUCACAGAUUGCCUUCUUUGAAGGUGAAAUGAUAUGUUCAGCAGGCACUGAUUAAACUGCAUCGGCUUGCCUUCCUACAAAAACUCCCUUCAUUGUACCAGAAGUAUAGUUUUAGAUAAGUAUAUAUUUAUUUUCAAAUAUUGUUUAUUUUAGGAUGAUUUUUUGAAUGCUUGGAUUUGUGCUUGUUUUUAGAAGAUUUGUUUUGUUGAAUGACUUGUUCUCUUCCCCCUGUUUUAAAUGUAUGUAAAUGAUUAAGGGUUUUGUUUUUGUUUUUACACAGAAUAAGGGUUUUCCUUGACCUGGAUGUGCAUUAUAAGCCACCUUUUCAAAUCUUCCUUCUCAUUCUGCUCUCCAUAAAUUUUCAGAAAAGCUUGUUCUGUCAAUAUGUGGUUUGUGCAGUUUCUCUGUGCUGUAUAUAUCAUCAGCUUCACAAAAUGCAUUCCAUCUUUUGGAUUUCUGAUGCAGAUCUCUUUCUCUCUCCUCCUCCCUUCUCCUUCCCUAUGGUAGUUGAGCUCUUUUGAGCUGGGGUUGUCUUUUAUUCUUGUGGAAUGUGUGGUGUUCAGAAUAUUGUUGGUGCGCCAUAAUGGGCAUUUAAUUGUAAAGCUGUUUUCCCUUUAAAGGAGCUUAGAAAGUCCUGGAUGCAAAGUGUGUAAACAUCCAUGUUGUUUUGUCCUCUGUUAACACACUCUAGGGGGAAAAUAAAGUUGUGGAAUCAAGUAAUCUAGGAAAUGUGUGCCUGUUAAUCAACGUUAAUUUCAGCAUUAUCUGAAUCAACACUGCCUUUUCCAAAUAAUAGCAAUAGCAUUUACAUUUCUAUACUGUUUAAUAGUGAACUCAUCACUCUCUAAGCAGUUUACAAUUACCUCCAACAAUCUGGAUAUUCAGUUUACCGACCUACGAAAGGAUGGAAGACUGAGUCAACCUUGGGGCCCUGGGAUUGAAUUCACAAACUUGUGGCUAUAGUAUGGGCAUUUUAACCACUGCAUCACCAGUGCUCCCUAGCAAGCAGUCACAGAAUGUCCUGGAGACUCAGCCGCCAUGCUCACCACUUCCUUCUCAUGACCCACAAACUGUAUCACCAAAAUACACUAUAUUUCAUCCAGGCAGAUUACAGAACAAAACAAAACAAACAAUCCAAAAGCCUCCCAUUGAGUCCCUUAAUUUGCAGAAUUUUUUGACUCCCCUAGUGAAAAUUCCAGUGUAUUUUGGGUAUAAAAUGCUGCAUAUGUACAGGAGUGUUUGCAUGUGAAGAAUCAGAUUAAUUACAUUGUAUUCAAAUGCAUAUAUUCACAGGAAGGAGAACCUCUGUGCUGAGGAAUUUUCAGCUUGUGUUUGCACCAAAAGACAUGCCAGGGUGGCCGGGGGGCAAUAGAUUUGUUGGGGGAAAAAUAUAGGACAUUUCUUCAAUAUCUCUUCCCCAAAGUGAACUAUUUUUAAAAGUUCCCAGGCAGAAAUGAAUGGCAUUUAUAGUAUUAUUUGCUCGUCCUAUAAAAAUUAUGCCCGAUAAAUUUCAAAAGAAUAGGUGCAACAUGAGUCUUAAUUUAUGUGUUUUGAAAAAAGUAUAUGCUUAUCCUGAGAUCCAAUGUGGUGGUGUAGUUUGAGUGAUGAACUAGGACAUUAGUAUUACAUGACUCAGCCAUGAAAACCCACUGAGUGACUUGGGGCAAGUCACACUUUCUGAGCCUCAAAGGAGGACAAAUGCAUCUCGCCUCUGAUCAAAUGUUGCCACACGCACACAAAACCCCAUGAGAGGUUUUCCUUAGGCAAUAACCACAUAAGUUAGAACUGACUUGAAGGCACAGAACACCAACAAUGUGCUUACCUUAAUUUGGGGGGGAGUGGUGAAGGUGGAAAGAACAUUAGUUAUGAAAAUUAUAGGAAAAAAGUGACCCUAGUUUUUAAAAACCAUGUAAGAAAUCAGAAGGAAAGAUACAGUUUUGGAUCAAUAGGAACUGUUUACUUUUGAGGGGUGUAUGUGGAGUGAUGGUUUUCCCCAACAAUUUGUAUAAGUGUCGUAUGUCCCAGUGGUGUCUCUAAGCAAGAAACAGGAAAAAUAGUUUUAAGAGAUAGUUAUUGGUGUUGUAUAGAUAUUGGGGAUUGAGAAUGAAAUGAAAAACUGUUUGGUUUUCAUUCUGUUACACAGGCCAUACAAAACAUUUCACUUGCAAUGCCAGGAAAUGAACAGGGAGAUAGUCAUGCAUUGUCUGCAAACAGCUAAAAGUAUCUUUCAUUUUUAUUUAAAAAAUGUAUACAUCCAGCUCUUUUAACAACAAUACUAUGUGACUAUAACAAUACUCAAAAGAUGGGCAUCUGAACAAGUUUUGCUUUUAAAAACGGAAAGAGCAUAGUUUCUGUGCUACCACAUUCUGUGUUUUUCUGUCUUUCAUUUGGUAUAUGAUAUAGAAUGGUUUUAAACACUUGCUGUUUGGAAUUCCUGAAGGAAAUCCAGGUACUCAAGUAAAAAUAUUUAAAUAGAAAAGAAUAGGAAUCCACACACUGGGAUAUAUGUUGAAGUCCAGACAUAUUAUUCAAUAUUGUCUGCCUUAAUUCAGAAAUGUAUCAUUGAAGAGGUUUCGUGAGUUUUGAGGUGUAGAUGACACUGUCUGUGGAGAGGUGAAUGUUAAAAUCAUAUUUUGUCUCCAUAAGAGAUCAGGACUAUUACAUGAAUAGUUUAUUAGAACACAUGUGUUUUCACAUAUUUCUGAAAAUGUUUUAGGAAACGGGAUACAAAACAGGAAAUGGCCAAUUUAAAUUUAUUUGUGUCAGCUGCAUAAUAGCUAUACAGAAUAUGUCAUGAAACCACAGGUGGUUGUUGUAGAGGAGUAAUUAAGCCAAAACUCAGUAUGUAAAUCAAAAUCCUCUUGUAAUGCUGAGGAAGUGGAAAUUUAAGAAUUCAAAAUGACUUGUCAAGUCACUACAUCUGAACUAAAACUGGAACAUAUGCAACCUUUUGCAAUAAGACAAUGAAAGGUUUAUAGCUACAGAAACAGCUUAGAAUAACUGCCCUUUAUUAUUUUCAUAAAUCUGCUUUUUAUUUCAGUUUUUAUGUUGGCAUGUUAAACAUUUCUGUUGAAUUCACAGUAGAGGUAAACUAAUAUCAUGUCCAUUUUACACAAAUCAAGCAGCCAUUUCACUGCCCUGAAAUUUUGAUGAAAUCUAAACUGGCAAGUAGAGUUAGAUAAUGGCGGUGCAAAAAAUGAAAAUUGUGCUUGGGAGAAAAAAAAUCUAAACAGUUGUAUCUCAGACAUUUCUUUGCAGAACUUUUCAAUAUUGGCUGUUUUUUGGUUCUCACUAUGAAGACUUUCUGUUCAGAAUUUAAUGAAGGGAACUGUUGGGAAAUUUAAGCAUUUUUCAGGCAUUCUGAAAGAAUGCAUAAGAAGUGGAAUGAGCUGUGUAACUUGUCCCACCCUCAAAUCCCUGGGUGCUUUUGGCUCCACACCUUCAUUUUCCAGUCUCCAUACAUGAACAAGGAACUCUGAAAGGAUAUCCUAUCUGACCAAAUGGGGAGGUUUUCUGUGAUAAAACAGGGUCCUCAAUCAUGUGAAGCAUUUUGGUUGUGUUUCGUUGAAUGUGGGUGGGCUCUCCAUUCAGAUCUUGCCACACUAUGUGGCAAGGAGGGCACAGGGACAUGCAGAGGGGAGUACAUCACUGUCCCCACUUUCAGCUUUUAAGUCUUCUUUGAAAUGCAUGCAAAGGGCUACAGUUUAAUCAAUGUAAUGAGAAUGUUCAGGCAUUAUGGUACUUUGUUGUUACCUGCCUCAAUCCUAUCGGAAGAGGCAGGAUAUAAAUAAAUAUUUAUUAUUAUUAUUAUUAUUAUUAUUAUUAUUAUUAUUAUUGUAGAAAACUUGAAAAUUUAU